CUACAGUUCAAUCACCACCUGUAAGAUCUGCAGUGAGAACUUCACCUCCGACUGCCAGCGUAGCCGGGGCUAUGUCAAGUGAGUCAGAUGCCCGCCGUUGUUUUCGAUGCAACCAGAUUGGUCAUCUGAGCAGGACUUGCCCCACUAGGAAUAUGCCCUCACCAGCCCGUGGAGGGGCACCAUCAGUUUUGCUUGUGGGUGGGUCUGU